rnacentral:rRNA from 1 species
GAGGGGUAGAGGAAGCUUGCUUCCUUGAGACCGGCGCACGGGUGCGUAACGCGUAUGCAAUCUACCUUGUACAGAGGGAUAGCCCAGAGAAAUUUGGAUUAAUACCUCAUAGUAUUAUUGAAUGGCAUCAUUUAAUAAUUAAAGUUCCAACGGUACAAGAUGAGCAUGCGUCCUAUUAGCUAGUUGGUGUGGUAACGGCAUACCAAGGCUACGAUAGGUAGGGGUCCUGAGAGGGAGAUCCCCCACACUGGUACUGAGACACGGACCAGACUCCUACGGGAGGCAGCAGUGAGGAAUAUUGGACAAUGGGCGCAAGCCUGAUCCAGCCAUGCCGCGUGCAGGAAGACGCAUCUAUGGUGUGUAAACUGCUUUUGUACGGGAAGAAACACUCCCUCGUGAGGGAGCUUGACGGUACCGUAAGAAUAAGGAUCGGCUAACUCCGUGCCAGCAGCCGCGGUAAUACGGAGGAUCCAAGCGUUAUCCGGAAUCAUUGGGUUUAAAGGGUCCGUAGGCGGUUUAAUAAGUCAGUGGUGAAAGCCCAUCGCCCAACGAUGGAACGGCCAUUGAUACUGUUAGACUUGAAUUACAAGGAAGUAACUAGAAUAUGUAGUGUAGCGGUGAAAUGCUUAGA